GUCUGCGUGGCUUAGCUGGUCAGAGCGUCGGUCUCAUAUUGCUUAAUAUGACUAAGUCAUAACACUUAGACAUCCGAAGAUCAUGAGUUCGAUCCUCAUCGCGGACA